CAAGUGUCGAAUGCAUUAUCACUUCAUCAUAUGGACUAGGAAGCAUGAAAGGGACCACUUCGCCAAGGCCUACUGGAUUCUCUCCUGCGCUCCCAGCAGAUUUGAUGUCAGAUCAGAUAUGCCUACUUGGAGAGACCAGCUUCCCUUUAAAAAGGCAUGCAGUCAAUAUAGUAAGGCGAUGUCAUCCGUCACCACACAUAAGGAGAGCCAGCCCUGGCCCGUGUGUCUGAUGAAUUAUCCAGGAAGGGCAUGGCUGGAUCUGUAGGGGUCAGGGAUCAGCCCUAUUCCUGGUCACACUUGGCAGCACAAGCAUUGGCCCCAGAGGCAGAUGCCAUUUAUCUUAACGGUGCCCGUGUGCCAGCUGUGAGUCAAUCUGUACCUACAGCACACCAAAGCCAGCAGAUGUGGCUGUCAGGCGCUAGCGGGACCGGUGAUGCUGGAGCACACCCAGGUAGCCGCUUGAACCCCAGCGGACCCAGACCUGACACAGCACAGCACAGCACAGCACAGCGCUGCCACAUCAGGACCAGCUGUCUCCCGCAGCCUGCUACAAUAGGGCAAGUCUUAUCCCCUAGUUCUUGGAGAGGAGAGAGAGAAGGGGGAGAGAGAGAGAGAUGGAGAGAGAGGGAGUGGGUGAGGGGCAGGUCUGCUGGAGGACCGCUAGCGGUGGGAUGGAGGCAUGUGGGGAGGGAUAGAGGCCCUGCCACGGGGAGCAUGUUGAGUGUUGCCUCAGUCCAUGGAGAUGAAGGUACGGCUUCCAGCAGAGAGAGCGAGAGGGAGAGAGAGAGAGAGAGAGCGUGUGCAAUCAGAGACCAGCCCAAAGCAACAAAUAACGCUGAUGUGUCUAAUUAACAGGAAACUCUCUCUCUCCCUCCUUUCCUGUCUCUCUCUCGCUCUUUGUGUGGGGAGGAAAAAAGUACACAUCAAGUUGUUUGUUAUUUACACUAAACACAAACUAGUUUAGAUAUUUAUACAAUGAAAUGCACCACUGGGAGAAAAUCCAAGAGGCAAAAAAUAAUUGUUUGAUAGCUGUAGCAGUGUAGCGUUCAUCAGACAUCUCUUUAACGCUACUCUAGCUCGCAGUCAUUUGAAAUCCUAAUGUGAGCAGGAUCAUUCCGUCUUAGACAGAGAGCAAAUAAUACGAGUGUCGUGCUGAAAUAUUUACCUCACCCCGCUUGUGGUGGAAGUUCACCUACAGAAAAAAAGAAAUGACCAGCAACUGUGUGUUUAGUCUUUCUCCUGGUUAUGACUAGUACUGUUGCACCCAUGUCUACACCAUGCUGGAUGAUUUGUGUAGUGAGGGAGACAGAGAGGGACUGUAGCCAUAGAUGGAGCUCACUAU